rnacentral:rRNA from 1 species
AGAGUUUGAUCCUGGCUCAGGACGAACGCUGGCGGCGUGCUUAACACAUGCAAGUCGAGCGGAAAGGCCCUUCGGGGUACUCGAGCGGCGAACGGGUGAGUAACACGUGAGGAACCUGCCCCGGACUUUGGGAUAACCUUCGGAAACGGAGGCUAAUACCGAAUAUGACCUUGCACCGCAUGGUGUCUUGGUGGAAAGUUUUUCGGUCUGGGAUGGUCUCGCGGCCUAUCAGCUUGUUGGUGGGGUAAUGGCCUACCAAGGCGACGACGGGUAGCCGGCCUGAGAGGGCGACCGGCCACACUGGGACUGAGACACGGCCCAGACUCCUACGGGAGGCAGCAGUGGGGAAUAUUGCACAAUGGGCGGAAGCCUGAUGCAGCGACGCCGCGUGAGGGAUGACGGCCUUCGGGUUGUAAACCUCUUUCAGCAGGGACGAAGCGAGAGUGACGGUACCUGCAGAAGAAGCGCCGGCCAACUACGUGCCAGCAGCCGCGGUAAGACGUAGGGCGCGAGCGUUGUCCGGAUUUAUUGGGCGUAAAGAGCUCGUAGGCGGCUUGUCGCGUCGACUGUGAAAACCCGCGGCUCAACCGCGGGCCUGCAGUCGAUACGGGCAGGCUAGAGUUCGGUAGGGGAGACUGGAAUUCCUGGUGUAGCGGUGAAAUGCGCAGAUAUCAGGAGGAACACCGAUGGCGAAGGCAGGUCUCUGGGCCGAUACUGACGCUGAGGAGCGAAAGCGUGGGGAGCGAACAGGAUUAGAUACCCUGGUAGUCCACGCUGUAAACGUUGGGCGCUAGGUGUGGGGGACCUCUCCGGUUCUCUGUGCCGCAGCUAACGCAUUAAGCGCCCCGCCUGGGGAGUACGGCCGCAAGGCUAAAACUCAAAGGAAUUGACGG